rnacentral:rRNA from 1 species
UGGCUCAGGAUGAACGCUAGCGGCAGGCUUAACACAUGCAAGUCGAGGGGCAGCGGGGAGGAAGCUUGCUUUCUCCGCCGGCGACCGGCGCACGGGUGAGUAACACGUAUGCAACCUGCCCCUGUCAGGGGGACAACCCGCCGAAAGACGGGCUAAACCCGCGUACAUGCCACCGGGGCAUCCCGGAGGCAGGAAAGGCUUCGGCCGGACAGGGAUGGGCAUGCGGCGCAUUAGGCAGUAGGCGGGGUAACGGCCCACCUAACCGACGAUGCGUAGGGGUUCUGAGAGGAAGGUCCCCCACACUGGUACUGAGACACGGACCAGACUCCUACGGGAGGCAGCAGUGAGGAAUAUUGGUCAAUGGUCGGGAGACUGAACCAGCCAAGCCGCGUGAGGGAUGAAGGUACAGAGUAUCGUAAACCUCUUUUGUCAGGGAACAAAGGCGGGGACGUGUCCCCGGAUGAGUGUACCUGAAGAAAAAGCAUCGGCUAACUCCGUGCCAGCAGCCGCGGUAAUACGGAGGAUGCGAGCGUUAUCCGGAUUUAUUGGGUUUAAAGGGUGCGCAGGCGGUCUGUUAAGUCAGCGGUCAAAGCCCGGGGCUCAACCCCGGCCCGCCGUUGAAACUGGCAGUCUCGAGUUGGAGAGAAGUAUGCGGAAUGCGCGGUGUAGCGGUGAAAUGCAUAGAUAUCGCGCAGAACUCCGAUUGCGAAGGCAGCAUGCCGGCUCCACACUGACGCUGAGGCACGAAAGCGUGGGUAUCGAACAGGAUUAGAUACCCUGGUAGUCCACGCAGUAAACGAUGAAUGCUGGCUGUCCGGGGGGACUGACCCCUGGGUGGCGAAGCGAAAGCGAUAAGCAUUCCACCUGGGGAGUACGCCGGCAACGGUGAAACUCAAAGGAAUUGACGGGGGCCCGCACAAGCGGAGGAACAUGUGGUUUAAUUCGAUGAUACGCGAGGAACCUUACCCGGGCUCAAACGGGGAGUGACUCAGGCAGAGACGCCUGUUUCCCACGGGACACUCCCCGAGGUGCUGCAUGGUUGUCGUCAGCUCGUGCCGUGAGGUGUCGGCUUAAGUGCCAUAACGAGCGCAACCCCCGCGUGCAGUUGCUAACAGUCAACGCUGAGGACUCUGCACGGACUGCCGGCGCAAGCCGCGAGGAAGGCGGGGAUGACGUCAAAUCAGCACGGCCCUUACGUCCGGGGCGACACACGUGUUACAAUGGGUGGUACAGCGGGAAGCCAGGCGGCGACGCCGAGCGGAACCCGAAAUCCACUCUCAGUUCGGAUCGGAGUCUGCAACCCGACUCCGUGAAGCUGGAUUCGCUAGUAAUCGCGCAUCAGCCAUGGCGCGGUGAAUACGUUCCCGGGUCUUGUACACACCGCCCGUCAAGCCAUGGGAGCCGAGGGCGCUUGAAGUGCGUCGCCGCGAGGCGCGCCCUAGAGCGAAAUCGGUGACUGGGGCUAAGUCGUAACAAGGUAACCG